rnacentral:lncRNA from 1 species
GGGAGACCUAAAGUCACCACAGGGAGAUUUCAGCUGGACUCUUCUAUCUCCUUGUUGGCCUACCUGCAGUACAAAGCUUUUCUUUUCUCAAAAACCAGGUGUCACAGUAUUGGUUUCUAGAACAUUGGGCAGUGAGUGCUUUUGCGCUUUGGUCGGUAACACCUGGAUCUGAUUUAGACAAUACUUUGGACCUGAAGUCUUAAUUAGUUGAACUUUUGGGGGAUUUUAAGAAGACACUAAUGUAUUUUACCUGUGAGAAGAAUCUAAAUAAUCUGUGGCCAUUGGGCAAACUACUGUGGAAUAAAGGUGCCUGACAAUUCUUUGUCCCUCCUCCCAUCAAGAGGUGGAGUCAGCCAGGUGAAAUGGCUCAUGCUGGUAAUCUCAGCACUUUGGGAGGCCAAAGCAGGAAGACUGCGUGAGCUCAGGAGUUCGAGACUAGCCUGAGCAAUAUCGCAACAUCUCAUCUCUACUAAAAAUUUUAAAAUUAGCUGGACGUGGAGGCGCAUCCCGGUAGUCCCAGCUACUCGGGAGGCUGAGGCAGGAGAAUCACUUGAGCCCAGGAGUUUGACGUUAUAGUGACCUAUGAUCACACCACUGCACUACAGGCUGGUUGAUAAAGGAAGAUCCUGUCUAAAAAAAAAAGUAAAAACAAGAGGCCGAGCCAGUUUUAUUCCCCUUGAAUCUGGCCUGCCCUAUAAACUUGUUUUAAGCAAAAGAAUGCUUUAGAAGUGAUGCUAAGGCUGGGCUUUCAGGGAUCUCCAUCUUCUGUAUUUUUGAAAUGCUCCUUUUUGGAAUGCUUCCUCUAGUUUGUGAGGAAACCCAAGCAGCCACAUGGAGAGUCCUUUGUGGAGAGAUCCAAGUGGAGAAUGAAGGCCCCAUGACCCAACCCAUUCUGAGUUUCCAGCCCCCAGACAGCCCCAACUGCCAUUCACAUGAGUGAAGCCAUUUUGGAACUUCCAACUGUGCCAGUGCCUCAGCUGACACCAUGUGAGGCAAAGCUGCCCAGCCAACUGCAAAACUGCGAGAAAUUGUUGCUUCAAAACACCCACCAAGGCCCACUGGCCAGAACGCCGCCGCGGCCCCAAACCACUCCAGAUAACCACCCGCCAGCUGUCCUCUCCGUUCUCUCCGCCGCCGCGCUGCAGGCCCAGGCUCGCACCCGAGUCCCUUCGCACCCCAGGAAGUGGCGCGGCCUGUCG